rnacentral:rRNA from 1 species
CGUUCAAAUAUCUGACCUAUCAACUUUCGAUGGUAAGGUAGUGUCUUACCAUGGUGGUGACGGGUAACGGACCGUGGGUGCGGGACUCCGGAGAGGGAGCCUGAGAAACGGCUACCACAUCCAAGGAAGGCAGCAGGCGCGCAAAUUACCCAAUCCGGACAUCGGGAGGUAGUGACAAGAAAUAUCAAUAGGGGACCUGAUGGGUCUUCUAAUUGGAAUGAGAACAUGGUAAACAGCUUAACGAGGAUCCAGCAGAGGGCAAGUCUGGUGCCAGCAGCCGCGGUAAUUCCAGCUCUGUAAGCGUAUACCAAAGUUGUUGCAGUUAAAACGCUCGUAGUCGGAUUUUGGUGGUCUCGCAGGGACGCGCGUUGAGCGUGGGCCUGUCGGGGCUGCUUUUGUGGAGGACGUGCACAGGCGGCUUUACUGUCGCUUGUGUUUAGGGGGCAGGAGGUCAGUGCCUUUCGGGGUUGUUGGCUUUUCUUGUCUUCUUUUGCGUCACCACCAUUUACUGUGAAAAAAUUAGAGUGUUCAAAGCAGGCGUUUGCCAUGAAUACAUUAGCAUGGAAUAAUGGAAUAGGACUUGGAUCCUAUUUUGUUGGUUUGUGAGGGCCAAGUAAUGAUUAAGAGGGACAGUUGGGGGCAUUUGUAUUCCGGCGCUAGAGGUGAAAUUCUUAGAUUGCCGGAAGACAAACCGCUGCGAAAGCGUCUGCCAAGGAUGUUUUCAUUGAUCAAGAACGAAAGUAAGGGGAUCGAAGACGAUCAGAUACCGUCGUAGUCUUUACUAUAAACGAUGAGGACUGGGGAUCGGGCGUGGAAUCACGAUGACCCGCCCGGCACCCUCCGGGAAACCAAAGUGUUUGCUUUCUGGGGGGAGUAUGGUCGCAAGGCUGAAACUUAAAGGAAUUGACGGAAGGGCAUCACCGGGUGUGGAGCCUGCGGCUUAAUUUGACUCAACACGGGAAAACUUACCAGGUCAGGACAUAGUGAGGAUUGACAGAUUGAGAGCUCUUUCAUGAUUCUAUGGUUGGUGGUGCAUGGCCGUUCUUAGUUGGUGGAGUGAUUUGUCUGGUUAAUUCCGUUAACGAGCGAGACCUGGGCGUGCUAACUAGGGGCUACUACCAUUUUUUUGCGGUAGUGAGUUUUUUUUUUCAACCCCUUCUUAGACGGACUGCGGGCGUCUAGUCCGCGGAAGCUCCAGGCAAUAACAGGUCUGAGAUGCCCUUAGAUGUUCUGGGCCGCACGCGUGCUACACUGAGCGGGUCAGCGGGUGCGGAUGCGCGAAAGCGUUUCCUAAUCCCCAAAUCCGCUCGUGAUGGGGAUAGACGGUUGCAAUUUUCCGUCUUGAACGAGGAAUACCUUGUAAGCGUGGGUCAUCAUCCCACGCUGAAUACGUCCCUGCCCUUUGUACACACCGCCCGUCGCUCCUACCGAUUGAGUGGUCCGGUGAGAUCCUGGGAUUGAUAUGAGGGGAGCGUUUACGCUCGUUUCGUGUCGGAAACUUGCUCGAACCUUAUCACUUAA